rnacentral:snRNA from 1 species
GGCUUGUGGCAGCCAAGCGUU